GAUGGACGCUAGCGAUAGGCUUAACACAUGCAAGUCGAGGGGCAGCACAAGGUAGCUUGCUAUCUGGGUGGCGACCGGCGCACGGGUGCGUAACGCGUAUGCAACUUGCCCUAUACAGGAGGAUAACCCGUCGAAAGACGGACUAAUACUGCGUAUGCUCACAACUUGGCAUCAAGUGGUGAGGAAAGAAAUUCGGUAUAGGAUAGGCAUGCGUCCCAUUAGCUUGUUGGUGAGGUAACGGCUCACCAAGGCAACGAUGGGUAGGGGAACUGAGAGGUUUAUCCCCCACACUGGUACUGAGACACGGACCAGACUCCUACGGGAGGCAGCAGUGAGGAAUAUUGGUCAAUGGGCGCGAGCCUGAACCAGCCAAGUCGCGUGAAGGAUGACUGUCUUAUGGAUUGUAAACUUCUUUUAUACGGGAAUAACAAGAGUCACGUGUGACUCCCUGCAUGUACCGUAUGAAUAAGCAUCGGCUAACUCCGUG
rnacentral:rRNA from 1 species